CCUGAAUGGAACUGCAUACAGCAGCCAUUAAGAAAGAGGACUGACUUGAGCAAAAAUAUCGAUAUGGCUUUGCGAAAACAGAUUUUUCGAGUUUGUUCAUUAAACAACACACGUAUGUUGCAUUCCAUAAGGGACUUAAGACUGCAAGUGGAACAUGACCGACCAAACUCCUGCUUUUUCAUCAGCCUGGACGUCGAAGGAAAGCAAGAUAACGCAGUGCUGCGCUACAGAUUCACGGGCGAGAAAGAGGUAGAUCUGUUUUCAACCAUUGUACCUGAGUCAUUCCGGGGUAAAGGUGUUGCAGCGCUCCUGUCAAAGGCUGCCAUGGAAUUUCUGGUGGAAGAAAAUCUGAAGGCUUAUAUAUCCUGUUCGUAUAUUAAGAAAUAUGUUGAGGAAAACACACUGCUUGGUUAUGAUCAUAUUAUAUUCUGAAUGCUGCCUCUAUGGUGCAUAGCACUUGGAAUAGUAUAAUGUCUCCAAUAUACUGUAUAUAUUUACACUGGAUAAUCUAACUACAUAAUUUCCCAAAUGUGCCUUUGAACUGUGACUCCUUAUUUCUUGUGUUCAUGUGAUAAUUUCACCAAAAUAUUCCCCUUCCUAACUGAAAUCCAUUCCCUUAUUGUUUGAUUCAACACUUGCUAUGAAUGUAUUUAUAUUGCGUUUGAUUUCUUUUGGAUGUCUUUGGGAUAUUAGAGUGUGGUUCCUGUCAAAGGUACUUGUGGGUGUGCGUACAAGCGUGUUCGCCUACUGUAGUUACAGGCUGUAAGGUUGCAGUUACAAUGGUACAAUGAGGUCUUAUAAUAACAAAAUAAAAUAAAAAUGACUAAGGUGUAACAAAACCUAAUCAAGACAGGAACAGAACAGUGUUACAUAAGGAAUGGAAACCAAAGGAAUUACUGACAAGAUACAAGAGGGAAGAAGGAACUUACAUAGAGACAGUGAUCAGGAACAUAGGUAAGGGCCAUAACAACAAACAGGUGUCCGUGCUCCAAAUGAGGGAGAUAAGUCGUUGGCUCUGCCGUGCCUCGACGUGACACAGUAUGGAUGCCAAUCUAUGGAUGUCUAUGUCAUUGUAAGAAUGUACUUUUCCUUCUCCAUCCACAUUGACUUGUUGCUGUCCUCCACAUGUUGUCCAUCUACAUCAGCCUUUACCAUAGGAAAAGUAUAUUAUGUUUGGAGAUUCCUUACUUUUUUAAAUAAAAUAAAACCGAAUAUUUUGAAAGCCCCUUUGCUAUGGAAAUGGUAAGAUGUAAGGCUUGCAAAAGCCAAUCAGACAUUUUGUUACACUGGUUUAUUACCCAAGCCUGUCCUGGGCUGGCUGGCUGCUAUUUUGCAUCAUGCAUACUGUAUAAACCUAGCAUAACAACCUUUCAAAGUUUGUCCUAUAGGACUUACUAUUCUACAGGAGUUACCUUACUGAGGAAAGUGUUUAUAGCUACGAGACAUGGCUCAUGGUGUUUCUGACAUUUGAUGAAUUAACAUCCAUUAUAUCUAAUCUAACCUCAACCAGCCAUUUCAAAUCACAUAAUAAAAGCCAGUCAACACAAAAUGUUCCCAUAUAAUAAAAAAUUGUGGUGCCUAUAGGAAUAAGACUAUAUUCAGAUUG